UACGAAGGGGGCUAGCGUUGUUCGGAAUCACUGGGCGUAAAGCGCACGCAGGCGGAUCGUUAAGUCAGGGGUGAAAUCCCGAGGCUCAACCUCGGAACUGCCUUUGAUACUGGCGAUCUUUGAGUCCGGGAGAGGUGAGUGGAACUCCGAGUGUAGAGGCGAAAUUCGUAGAUAUUCGGAAGAACACCAGUGGCGAAGGCGGCUCACUGGCCCGGUACUGACGCUGAGGUGCGAAAGCGUGGGGAGCAAACAGG
rnacentral:rRNA from 1 species